CCUACGGGUGGCAGCAGUGAGGAAUAUUGGUCAAUGGUCGCAAGUCUGAACCAGCCAAGUAGCGUGCAGGAUGACGGCCCUAUGGGUUGUAAACUGCUUUUAUACGGGGAUAAAAUGCGGUACGUGUACUGCUUUGUAUGUACCGUAUGAAUAAGGAUCGGCUAACUCCGUGCCAGCAGCCGCGGUAAUACGGAGGAUCCGAGCGUUAUCCGGAUUUAUUGGGUUUAAAGGGAGCGUAGGCGGGUUGUUAAGUUAGAUGUGAAAUGUCGCGGCUCAACCACGAAAUUGCAGAUAAUACUGGCGUCCUAGAGUACAGUGGCGGUAGGCGGAAUUCGUGGUGUAGCGGUGAAAUGCUUAGAGAUCACACAGAACACCGAUUGCGAAGGCAGCAUACGGAACUGUAACUGACGCUGAGGCUCGAAAGCGUGGGUAUCAAACAGGAUUAGAUACCCGAGUAGUC
rnacentral:rRNA from 1 species